rnacentral:rRNA from 1 species
UUGGAGGGCAAGUCUGGUGCCAGCAGCCGCGGUAAUUCCAGCUCCAAUAGCGUAUAUUAAAGUUGUUGCAGUUAAAAAGCUCGUAGUUGAAUUUCGGGAUCAAAUUGUCGGUCGUGCCAAUUGGUACGCACUGGCAUUAUUGGUUCCUAUCUUCUGAAAAACCGCGAUUGUCAUUAAUUUGGUGUCAUGGGGAAUCAGGACUGUUACUUUGAAAAAAUUAGAGUGUUUAAAGCAGGCGCACGCUUGAAUACAUUAGCAUGGAAUAAUGAAAUAGGACGUUUGAUUCUAUUUUGUUGGUUUCUAGGAUCGACGUAAUGAUUAAUAGGGAUAGUUGGGGGCAUUAGUAUUCAAUUGUCAGAGGUGAAAUUCUUGGAUUUAUUGAAGACUAACUACUGCGAAAGCAUUUGCCAAGGAUGUUUUCAUUAAUCAAGAACGAAAGUUAGGGGAUCGAAGACGAUCAGAUACCAUCGUAGUCUUAACCAUAAACUAUGCCGACUAGGGAUCGGAUGAUGUUAAUUUUUUAAUGACUCAUUCGGCGCCUUACGGGAAAC